AAGAAAGAAUCAAAGCAACACUACAGAAAAUGCAGCUUGGGAAGCUGAGAUACCCAGACGUAAUGCGACUUGACAUAUUGAUGGCUGGCGUUUCCAAAGUAGCUAAUCCAGGAGCGCCUUUGGCUGAUUGGCUAAACUCCCAAGAGUAACGCUAAGGAAGACCGUGGAUGUUCAGCUUCUGCAGUACUGUCAAGAUCUCUCAGAUCCUGAGGAGUUGUUUUGAAUCAAGCCUGGAACCAAGUCCUGUAAAGAGCUCUUCCACGACUGCUCCUUGCCAAACCGGACAUUAUCGCCUGCCGCUUUCCUCGUUACCAUCACAGAACCUCAUAACAUACCCAGAUCCUAGCCUCUCCCUCAGCGCCCAC